rnacentral:lncRNA from 1 species
GGCGAAACAGGUACCGUGUGGUCCCCUCUUGUUUGGCCGAUCAGAAGCGUGGCCGGCACGAUGGUGGCUGACGGCAUGAGGGGCUGCGAUGGUGCAGCUCGGAAGAAGCCAGACUGACAGUCAGCGGUGACCACCAGCACCGAAAAAUCAAAGAAAAAAGAGGCGGAAACAGGGGACUUUUUCUCCAAUAAAAUCCAACGAACCCGAUCGCCGGCGAUCGUAUACACAGGC